GACGAACGCUGGCGGCGUGCUUAACACAUGCAAGUCGAGCGGAAAGGCCUCUUCGGGGGUACUCGAGCGGCGAACGGGUGAGUAACACGUGAGUAAUCUGCCCUUCACUUGGGGAUAACUUCCGGAAACGGUGGCUAAUACCCGAUAUGACCAUGGAUCGCAUGAUCUUGUGGUGGAAAGUUUUUUCGGUGGGGGAUGUGCUCGCGGCCUAUCAGCUUGUUGGUGGGGUAAUGGCCUACCAAGGCUUCGACGGGUAGCCGGCCUGAGAGGGUGACCGGCCACACUGGGACUGAGACACGGCCCAGACUCCUACGGGUGGCUG
rnacentral:rRNA from 1 species